GCUUUCUUUACCACUCCGCGCGCUUCACUCUUCUCUCUGCUCCACCAGGGCAUCAACCCGGGUUUCGCCGCCUCCCGUUUGGCCGCUGGUUGCCGGACUUCCCUCCGCAUCCUUCUGCCAUCGGGAAUCUCUCUCCGUCCCAGCUUGGCCUUUAUCUCUCUUCUCCAUCUCUGACUCUCUCACUGUUGUUGCAGUGAUCUAAUGGCUGCACUUGGAGAGACUGCUGCUACUGAAUUCCUGCGGCAGCACGGUUUCUUGAUUUAUGGGGGAUCAAGGAGGCCUAAUCUUCUUCUGCGUACAAAUUCUUGUCCAAGGAGGUGUCGUGUGAUUCACGGCAGCUUUGGCCACAAAAGUCAUCCUGUGUUAAAUAUUAGAAGAAGUAUAACAUCAAGUUCCCCAUUCUUGUUGAAACCGAAAGCAGUGGUUUCUAGAGGCUUGCAGAGUCAAGUGGCCGAAGAGUCUGAUGCAUUGGAACAGUCCCCUGAGAUCAUACACUUCUACCGUCACCCCCUGAUUCAAGACAGUGCUGCUGCAGAGCUCCUCAGGAAGGUCCAGGCAAAGAUUUCUGGUCAGAUCGUUGAUUUAAGGACCGAGCAGUGCUUCAACAUUGGAUUGAGUGGUGUCUUAUCAGGUGACAAGCUCACAAUACUUAAGUGGCUUCUGCAGGAGACCUAUGAACCUGAGAAUUUAAAGACAGAGAGCUUUCUGGAGGAGGAGGUCUGCAAAGGUGAAGUUGCUGUUUUAGUUGAGGUUGGUCCCCGCAUGUCCUUUACUACAGCAUGGUCAGCAAAUGCUGUAUCAAUUUGCCAAGCUUGCUCCUUGACAGAAGUAACACGCAUGGAGAGGUCAAGAAGAUAUCUUCUGUAUCUCAAGGCUGGCAGCAGCCCAUUAGAUGAGAGCCAAAUUAAUGAUUUUGCAGCUAUGGUUCAGGAUAGAAUGACAGAGUGUGUUUAUCCCCAGAAGCUCACAUCUUUUCGGACUAAUGCAGUUCCAGAGGCUAUUAGUGUGGUUCCUGUCAUUGAGAAGGGAAGAGAGGCAUUGGAAGAAAUAAAUUUGAAAAUGGGUCUUGCAUUUGAUGAACAGGAUCUUCAGUAUUACACCAGACUUUUUAGGGAUGAUUUUAAACGCAACCCGACAAAUGUUGAACUCUUUGACAUUGCACAGUCCAAUAGUGAACAUAGCAGGCACUGGUUUUUCAAUGGGAAACUUGUUAUAGAUGGCAAACCGAUGAACAGGACAUUGAUGCAGAUUGUGAAAAGCACUUUGAAGGCAAAUCCCAACAAUUCUGUCAUUGGCUUCAAGGACAACUCAAGUGCAAUCAAGGGAUUCCCAGUAAAUCAGUUGCGGCCAUUAGCACCUGGCUCGACAUCUCCAUUGUCCUUGUUAAUGCGUGAGCUUGAUAUCUUGUUCACAGCAGAGACGCAUAAUUUCCCUUGUGCUGUGGCUCCUUAUCCUGGGGCGGAGACAGGUGCUGGAGGUCGCAUCAGGGACACACAUGCAACUGGAAGGGGUUCCUUUGUUGUAGCUUCUACAGCUGGGUACUGUGUUGGUAACCUUCACAUGGAAGGCUCAUAUGCUCCCUGGGAAGAUCCAACUUUCUCAUAUCCAUCAAACUUAGCUCCUCCUCUACAGAUAUUAAUAGAUGCAAGUGAUGGUGCAUCUGACUAUGGGAACAAGUUUGGAGAGCCUUUGAUUCAGGGCUUCACGAGGACUUUUGGAAUGAGGCUCCCAAAUGGAGAGCGGCGUGAAUGGCUGAAGCCAAUUAUGUUUAGUGGAGGGAUUGGACAGAUUGAUCAUGCUCACAUAUCAAAACGAGAGCCAGAAGUUGGGAUGCUAGUUGUGAAGAUUGGAGGUCCAGCAUACCGGAUUGGUAUGGGAGGUGGUGCAGCUUCAAGCAUGGUCAGUGGGCAGAAUGAUGCAGAACUAGAUUUCAAUGCCGUACAACGAGGAGAUGCUGAGAUGGCACAGAAGCUGUAUCGUGUGAUCCGAUCUUGCACUGAAAUGGGGGAAAACAACCCUAUCAUCAGUAUUCAUGAUCAGGGAGCUGGGGGAAAUUGUAAUGUUGUGAAGGAAAUAAUUGAUCCUCAAGGAGCUGAAAUUGAUAUUCGAUCUAUCGUAGUAGGUGAUCAGACCAUGUCAGUUUUAGAGAUAUGGGGUGCUGAGUACCAGGAACAGGAUGCAUUGUUAGUGAAACCUGAAAAACGAAGCUUACUAGAAUCCAUCUGUGAAAGGGAAAGAGUGUCUAUGGCAGUCAUUGGUACCAUCAGUGGCAGUGGCCGUAUUGUUUUAAUUGACAGCUCAGCUAUCGAGCAUUGUCAGUCAAAUGGACUCCCUCUCCCCCCUCCUGUAGAGGAUCUUGAGCUUGAAAAAGUACUUGGAGACAUGCCUCAGAAGUGCUUUGAAUUCAAGCGGAUGCCUUUGGUGCAAGAGCCACUUGAUAUUGCCCUUGGCACCCCAUUAAUGGAGACUUUAAAGAGAGUCUUGGCACUUCCUUCAGUUUGCUCCAAACGCUUCUUAACAACAAAAGUUGACAGGUGUGUAACGGGUCUUGUGGCACAGCAGCAAACAGUGGGGCCUCUCCAACUUCCACUUUCUGAUGUUUCUGUUAUUGCACAGACAUACACAGACUUGACUGGUGGUGCUUGUGCCAUUGGGGAGCAGCCAAUAAAGGGUUUGCUGAACCCCAAAUCUAUGGCAAGGUUGGCUGUUGGGGAGGCCUUGACCAAUCUAGUCUGGGCCAAAGUUACAUCUCUCAGUGAUGUCAAAGCUAGUGGUAACUGGAUGUAUGCUGCAAAGCUUGAUGGGGAAGGAGCAGCAAUGUAUGAUGCUGCAGUUGCACUCUCUGAGUCUAUGAUUGAAUUGGGUAUAGCAAUAGAUGGGGGAAAGGACAGUCUUUCUAUGGCAGCUCAUGUGGGUGGUGAGGUUGUCAAGGCUCCUGGAAGUUUGGUUAUCAGUGCCUAUGUUACCUGUCCUGAUAUAACAUUGACAGUGACUCCAGAUUUGAAGCUUGAAAAUUUUGGUGUUCUGAUGCACAUUGAUCUAGCUAAAGGGAAGCGUCGUUUAGGUGGAUCUUCUCUUGCCCAGGCUUUUGACCAAAUUGGUGAUGAGUGCCCUGACCUUGAUGAUGUACGUUACCUGAAGAAGGUUUUUGAGACUAUUCAGGAGCUUCUUAGUGAAAGAUUAAUAUCUGCUGGUCAUGACAUCAGUGAUGGCGGGCUUAUAGUUUGUGUUCUUGAAAUGGCUUUUGCUGGAAAUUGUGGUGUGCAGUUGAACUUGAAUUCCCAGGGUAAUAAUAUUCUCCAGAUACUCUUUGCAGAAGAGCUUGGUCUUAUUAUCGAGGUUAGCUCGCAGAACAGUGAUACAGUCAGGCAAAAGCUUGAAGCAGCAGGCAUUUCUGGUGAGGUUAUUGGUAAAGUUACUGCAUCACCAGUGAUUGAGUUGUCUGUUGAUGGAAUACUUCAGCUGAAGGAGGACACAUCUUACCUUAGGGACUUAUGGGAGGAGACUAGCUUUCAGCUCGAGGGGUUCCAAAGGUUGGCUUCCUGUGUGAGACUUGAGAAAGAAGGCUUAAAAAGCAGACAAGCACCUUCAUGGACACUGUCUUUUUCUCCCAAGUUCACAGAUGAGAAGGUAAUGGCUGUAACUUUAAAGCCCAAGGUAGCUAUCAUUCGUGAGGAAGGGAGUAACGGGGAUAGGGAAAUGUCGGCAGCAUUCUAUGCUGCAGGAUUUGAACCCUGGGACAUUACAAUGUCUGACCUUCUGAGAGGGAAAAUCUCUUUAAAUGAGUUUCGUGGGAUCGCAUUUGUUGGUGGUUUCAGUUAUGCUGAUGUUCUCGAUUCUGCAAAAGGAUGGUCAGCAUCCAUAAGGUUCAACCAGCCUCUUCUACGGCAAUUUCAAGAGUUCUACAAUCAGCCAGACACAUUCAGCCUUGGAGUAUGUAAUGGAUGUCAGCUCAUGGCUCUCCUUGGAUGGGUACCUGGGGCUGAUAUUGGGGGUUCCCUUGGUGUGGGGGGAGAUGUGUCACAACCAAGGUUUAUCCAUAAUGAAUCUGGUCGUUUUGAGUGUCGCUUUACAAGUGUCAGAAUUGGGGACUCUCCAGCCAUCAUGUUCAAAGGAAUGGAGGGCACUACAUUGGGUGUUUGGGCAGCUCAUGGUGAGGGGAGAGCAUAUUUCCCUGAUAAUGGCGUCCUAGAAUGUGUUCUUAAGUCUAAUCUAGCUCCUCUACGGUAUUGCAAUGAUGCUGGCAGCAUAACAGAGGUCUAUCCUUUCAAUCCAAAUGGUUCGCCUCUGGGAGUUGCAGCUCUUUGUUCUCCUGAUGGGAGGCACCUUGCUAUGAUGCCACAUCCAGAGCGUUGCUUCAUGAUAUGGCAGUUCCCGUGGUAUCCAAAGGAAUGGGAAGUUGACAAGAAAGGCCCAAGUCCAUGGUUAAGGAUGUUUCAGAAUGCUCGUGAAUGGUGCUCCUAAAUAGAUCUUUAUCUGGUGACAUUGAUGUCACUGAAUUUUUGUUUGAGUUAUUGAGAAAACUGCUUAAGCCUAAAGGGAACUGAUCUCAUACAUGGAAAUAAGGCCUAGGGCCCAAGAGUGUUGGCAUCUUCGGUUAAAUUCAAGUUUUUACUCUUCUUGCUGUUAGUUUCACUUCCAGUACUCGAGAAAGUGUGAGUUCACAGGAGAUGUAUGCCAAGCAUGCAACAGGAGCUUUAUAGCCACACAUUUUGGAUUUGUGAUUGUGAAACUCCUUAUUGAUCCAUAUAGAAAAAGACAAAGUUGGCAGGGUUUCUUUUUUCACAUUUAUUUGUUUCUGUUCUGUUUUCAUUCUGGGAAGAAACCUAGGGGUUUCAGUAAACAUUAUGAGCUUAGAAAUACAAUAAUAGACAUAUGAUCACAGAAAGAGUUGCUGUUUUUCACCAUCUAUCUUUUAAAAAGCAAUUUUUAGAACAUUAGCAAACAGUUUGAUUGAUU